GCAAACUCCAAAUGAAAGGUUGGCAGAGCCUCAGACUUCCUAGCUAAUGAUAUGAGGGCUGGCCGUAGGCAGGAGCUCUUGUCCCAGGGGAGAGACUUUAGGGGUGUCUUCCUCCAUGACUACACACUCAGCUUCUGUUAGACCAUUUCUACCACCACCAACCCCCAGCAUACACACCAGCACCAGCUUGCUGAGGUCUGGCUUCAGCAAGCCAUUCUGCAGAGUAUAGGCAAUGAACACACACCCUGCCUCCCCGCAAAGAAGUAAUAUUUCAACACAUCAUCAGUUAUUGGGACUAAUGGGUUUAUUAGCAAGGCCUUUCCACAGACUCUUGGGAUGGGAUAUGAGGGGGAAGACCCUUAAUAUGCUCCAUCACUACCCAGGUUUCUCUAACUC
rnacentral:lncRNA from 1 species